CAUGGCUCAGGAUGAACGCUAGCGGGAGGCCUAACACAUGCAAGCCGAGCGGUAUUUAUUCUUCGGAAUAGAGAGAGCGGCGUACGGGUGCGGAACACGUGUGCAACCUGCCUUUAUCAGGGGGAUAGCCUUUCGAAAGGAAGAUUAAUACCCCAUAAUAUAUUGAAUGGCAUCAUUUGAUAUUGAAAACUCCGGUGGAUAGAGAUGGGCACGCGCAAGAUUAGAUAGUUGGUAGGGUAACGGCCUACCAAGUCAGUGAUCUUUAGGGGGCCUGAGAGGGUGAUCCCCCACACUGGUACUGAGACACGGACCAGACUCCUACGG
rnacentral:rRNA from 1 species